rnacentral:rRNA from 1 species
GUCCUUUAGAAUUAUAUUUAAGGUCUAACCUGCCCACUGAAAUUUAUUUUAAAUGGCCGCAGUAAUUUGACUGUGCAAAGGUAGCAUAAUCAUUAGUUUUUUAAUUAAAAGCUUGUAUGAAGGGUUGGACGAGGUAAAAUCUGUCUCUAAUAAAUUUAAUUUAGAAUUUAACUUUUAAGUUAAAAGGCUUAAAUAAGAUUAAAAGACGAGAAGACCCUAUAGAUCUUUAUAAUUUAUUUAUUAAAUUUAAUUAAGAAUUUUUUAAAUUUUAUUGAUUAAAUUAUUUUAUUGGGGUAAUAUAAAGAUUUAAAUAAUUCUUUUUUUUUAUUAACAUUAAUUUAUGAAUUUAUGAUCCAAUUUUAUUGAUUAUAAGAUUAAGUUACCUUAGGGAUAACAGCGUAAUUUUUUUAGAGAGUUCUUAUCGAUAAAAAAGUUUGCGACCUCGAUGUUGGAUUAAAGAUUAUUUCAGGUGUAGAAGUUUGAAAAUUUUGGUCUGUUCGACCAUUAAAUCUUUACAUGAUCUGAGUUCAGACCGGCGUAAGCCAGGUCGGUUUCUAUCUUUAAUAAAUUAAAAUAUUUUAGUACGAAAGGACCAAUUAUUUAAUAUAGUUAUUUUUAUUUUUGAUUAUUAUUAA